ensembl:lncRNA MIR222HG miR222/221 cluster host gene
CCACUCUCCUGCCUGGGCUGCUGCUCAACGGGGGCUGGGGGUGUGUGGGGCGGGGGUGGUCUGUCCAGUGAUUCAGCCACAUGUGAUAGAUGACCAAGUGACUGCUUUCUUGGAGUCCGCACACCAGUGGAAGACUCUCAAAGUGGUUGUGACCGACUUGAUCAAACUCUAGGCUUCCUGAACUGGAAUGAAAUGCAGAUAACUCUUUAGAAAACUUUUGUAGGAAAAGCGCCUCGUGUGAUCUGGAACAAAGACGUUUUAUAAUCAGAUUUAUCAAGCUGCGAAGAGGGAGUUUUAGUGAACGGAAGCAGCAGCAUUCUGUCACCAGGAAAUACUCCUUUAUCCAGAAUUGGUAAGUGAAAAGUGGCAUUGCUCCCUAAUAGAUAUCAUAUGCGUGUGUGGGAAUUGAAAAAUUGUUCACAGACCCCUAACAACUGUGUUGAACAGAGAACACAUAAACAGUGAGGAGUUCUAAAAAAGAGCAGCACGAGAAUACCGCAUAAAGACUGAGAAGAAGCCAGGUAAUUAACAAAAAUGAGCUGAGUGCUAUCAGUUUAGCUAAACAUAUGUAAUACAGCUAGAUUUGGUUGUUUUAUUUUUUCUUGUUAGUGGAGGAGAAACAUAAAAUCAGAAUGGGCUGUUUAGUAGAAUUGCGACAUUAACUUUCCAUGGAUGUAGAUUUCCAUUUAGUCUGAAUAGCAUGUAUGAAAUUUGAAGGGAUGCUUUCAGAAUUAGUCUACUUGCCCUCCUUUCCUUUCCUCUGCAUUAAGAUGUCAAGUAUUUAGUUAGAACCUUACAAGAUGAAAGUUGUACAAAAUGAAAGUUCAAGUAAUGCGUCGGAAACACCUCUCCUGAUUGGGAAGGGUAGAUUACAAUGGCAAUAGAUUUUUGUUUUUUGUUUCUUACAUUUGUGUCACGAAUUUUAAGUUUGUUCUAUUGGAUUACAUUAGUACAGCAAAAGGGGGGUUAUUUCUAUCUAUAUGGUUCAUGACAUUUUGAGAGGUCGUGAUUAGUAGUUCUUACUGGUUUCGUAUGCGUGUUCCUGCCUGUUGAAUUCAGUUUUCUAAUCUUGAAUCUGAGCUGCCUUUAUGUUAAAGGGUUCUAGAAAAAGACAAUAAAGCUUUGAAUACCCGUGUUAUAUACAACAGGUUCCUGUUCAUGAUGUAUAAGGUAACGCAAUUUUAUUUUAGGCAUGAAUGUCUAAUUUCUUGAUUUGGCUUCUUAAGAAUAUACUGAAAAGGUUGAAUAGAAUAAGAAAAAGAACAUUAGAAAAGAAUGGUGGGUGACUGCCUGAUUUUACUAGUUUCUUAUUGGUCAAUAGAAGUAAUCAUGUGAUGUCUACUUAUAGAAGCAAAUGGAAAAAAUUUUUCUUCUUUAACUGCUAACAAGUAUAUAGGCAAUUUUAGCAAUCUUCAUUUAUUAAUUUGAAUAUAUAAUUAUAACUGUUAUUAACAGAAUAAGUUUUGGGUAAUAUAGGAAAUAAUAAUUAUUUCUUUCUUUUUAAGCCAAAUUGGAAGUUGAAUCUACUUUUGGUUCCUGUUCUGUUACUUUCAAAAUCUUAAAAUCCUUAACUCAAAAGGGAAAAUGUAUAAUAAAACAGGAUAGCAGUGCUGAAAUUUCUCUCUCUUAGCAGUGGAGUGGGAUGAGGGUGGGGGAGGGAGAUGAAUCUAGUGAGAUAUAUUAAUUGUUUUUUCCCCCUCUUGUAUACUUGGAUAACUUUUGAGAUCAGUUUUCUCAGACUAGCAGCUCUCAAGACUU